AUUGAACGCUGGCGGCAGGCUUAACACAUGCAAGUCGAGCGGUAGCACAGGGGAGCUUGCUCCCCGGGUGACGAGCGGCGGACGGGUGAGUAAUGUCUGGGAAACUGCCUGAUGGAGGGGGAUAACUACUGGAAACGGUAGCUAAUACCGCAUAACGUCGCAAGACCAAAGAGGGGGACCUUCGGGCCUCUUGCCAUCAGAUGUGCCCAGAUGGGAUUAGCUAGUAGGUGGGGUAAUGGCUCACCUAGGCGACGAUCCCUAGCUGGUCUGAGAGGAUGACCAGCCACACUGGAACUGAGACACGGUCCAGACUCCUACGGGAGGCAGCAGUGGGGAAUAUUGCACAAUGGGCGCAAGCCUGAUGCAGCCAUGCCGCGUGUGUGAAGAAGGCCUUCGGGUUGUAAAGCACUUUCAGCGAGGAGGAAGGUGGUGAGCUUAAUACGUUCAUCAAUUGACGUUACUCGCAGAAGAAGCACCGGCUAACUCCGUG
rnacentral:rRNA from 1 species